CCUACGGGAGGCAGCAGUGAGGAAUAUUGGUCAAUGGCCGGAAGGCUGAACCAGCCAAGCCGCGUGAAGGACGAAGGUGCCAAGCAUUGUAAACUUCUUUUGUCAAGGGACAAAAUCAGGCUCGAGAGCCUGACCGAGGGUACUUGAAGAAAAAGCAUCGGCUAACUCCGUGCCAGCAGCCGCGGUAAUACGGAGGAUGCGAGCGUUAUCCGGAUUUAUUGGGUUUAAGGGGUGCGUAGGCGGGCUGUAAAGUCAGCGGUAAAAGCCCGGGGCGAAACCCCGGCGAGCCGUUGAAACUGGCGGUCUUGAGAUGUCGAGAGGUAUGCGGAAUGCGCGGUGUAGCGGUGAAAUGCUUAGAUAUUGCGCAGAACUCCGAUUGCGAAGGCAGCAUACCGGCGGCGAUCUGACGCUGAGGCACGAAAGCGUGGGUAUCGAACAGGAUUAGAUACCCUGGUAGUC
rnacentral:rRNA from 1 species